GCCAAGACCUAAGCGCUGCAAAGCAGCGCUUAGGACGCUGUCCCGUAGGGGUCCGCCGGUUCAAAUCCGGUCCCGCGCA
rnacentral:tRNA from 1 species